rnacentral:tRNA from 1 species
GCAGAAAUGGUGUAACGGUAACAUCUCGGUCUCCAAAACCAAGGCUCUGGGUUCAAUUCCUAGUUUCUGCG